rnacentral:lncRNA from 1 species
CAAGGAAUGUUCUAGUCUACCUCGACUUGUACUUAACAAAAUGCAGAUAGUAUAGUCUUGCAUUUCCUAACACAUAAGCCAAGCAAAGAAAGAGAAAAUGGGGAAGGAAGCAAGAACACAAAACUGCAUUAAUCAUCUCAUUGCAUGUCUUUUUUUGUAAAAACAAUGCAUCAGUCUUUGCUGGAAAUGCAGAAGUAAACAUUGUUUACCAAAAUGAGGGAAACAGAAACAUUUCCCAAAUUAUAUUCAAUAUUUCUUUCUUUUAUAUGCUCUUUUCACUUCUUCUUUUGUUAGUUUCUUCUUCCACUAUCCAACCAACCCUACAAAACCGCAAAGUAAAAACUUAAACAUGAAAAUCAUUUACCAUCAGGAAAAACAAUUUCCGGUGGCUUGCAAUAACAGUCAAAAUGAUUACUUGAGGCUUAACCCUAAAAUGUAACAGAACAUUCUAUCCAAACAUUUUGCGGUAUUGCUUGAUUAGCUUCAAAGGAACUAGAUGAACCGAAAGUAAACAGCCAAAUACAUGCUUUGAUUAGUUCUGAAAUGUAAUGCCUUCUGGGCCUUAAGAUUUGAGCCGAAGCUCUCCUGAAUAAAGGCCCAGGCCCAAUUGGAAAAAAGCAGAAUCACAGUUUGGGUCUUUGUUGGAAUCAGCGAGACGUGAGCUAAGCCAUGGAAGCGAUGACGAUGGCUGUGUUACGGCGGAGGAGAAGGAAUGUGAGCAGAGUGGAGUAGCGGCGGCGGUGAAGAAAUCGGAGGAGAACCGAAGUGGAUUAGCUGAGAAGGGUGAGGAGCUCUAAAGAGGGGUGGAGCGAAGUAGCGACGCCGUUGAGGAGAUCUGAAUAGGAGUGAAGUGGAGCUAUGGGGAAGGUGCAACAGAGUCGAAACUCACAAGGGCCUGUCGCAGGGGUAAACGGAAUUGGACUGACAUGAGCGGGAUGAAGAAAGCUGAACUACGGUGAACUCGGAGAGGCACUAGCAGAGCCACCAGCGAAGGGUUGAGCCCGUAGACAUGGAGCUCUUCACCGGAUCUCAAACACAACCAUCGUAGAAGAACCGUAGACUAGGAGAGAAAGAGUGACCUGAACUGCACCAAAAUAGAUUAAAAAAACACUAUGGCCAC